UGCCGUGAGGUGUUGGGUUAAGUCCCGCAACGAGCGCAACCCCUAUCACUAGUUGCCAUCAGGUAACGCUGGGAACUCUAGUGAAACUGCCGUCGCAAGACGCGAGGAAGGAGGGGAUGAUGUCAAGUCAUCAUGGCCUUUAUGCCCUGGGCUACACACGUGCUACAAUGGGCGCAACAAAGGGCUGCAACACAGCGAUGUGAAGCUAAUCCCAAAAAAGCGCUCUCAGUUCAGAUUGCAGUCUGCAACUCGACUGCAUGAAGCUGGAAUCGCUAGUAAUCGUAUAUCAGCAAUGAUACGGUGAAUACGUUCCCGGACCUUGCACACACCGCCCGUCAAGCCAUGGAAGCCGGGUGUACCUAAAGUCGGUAACCGCAAGGAGCCGCCUAGGGUAAAACUGGUGACUGGGGCUAAGUCGUAACAAGGUAAG
rnacentral:rRNA from 1 species